rfam:Camelus ferus unplaced genomic scaffold scaffold701, whole genome shotgun sequence.
AGCUCAGUGGUAGAGCACAUGCUUAGCAUGCAUGAGGUCCUGGGUUCAAUCCCCAG